rnacentral:rRNA from 1 species
GAUGAACGCUGGCGGCGUGCCUAAUACAUGCAAGUCGAGCGAACAGACGAGGAGCUUGCUCCUCUGACGUUAGCGGCGGACGGGUGAGUAACACGUGGAUAACCUACCUAUAAGACUGGGAUAACUUCGGGAAACCGGAGCUAAUACCGGAUAAUAUAUUGAACCGCAUGGUUCAAUAGUUAAAGACGGUUUUGCUGUCACUUAUAGAUGGAUCCGCGCCGCAUUAGCUAGUUGGUAAGGUAACGGCUUACCAAGGCAACGAUGCGUAGCCGACCUGAGAGGGUGAUCGGCCACACUGGAACUGAGACACGGUCCAGACUCCUACGGGAGGCAGCAGUAGGGAAUCUUCGGCAAUGGGCGAAAGCUUGACGGAGCAACGCCGCGUGAGUGAUGAAGGUCUUCGGAUCGUAAAACUCUGUUAUUAGGGAAGAACAACUGUGUAAGUAACUAUGCACGUCUUGACGGUACCUAAUCAGAAAGCCACGGCUAACUACGUG